GAUGAAGAACGCAGCGAAAUGCGAUAAGUAAUGUGAAUUGCAGAAUUCAGUGAAUCAUCGAAUCUUUGAACGCACAUUGCGCCCGCCAGUAUUCUGGCGGGCAUGCCUGUUCGAGCGUCAUUUCAACCCUCAAGCCCAGCUUGGUGUUGGGGAUCGGCACAGGCGCCCUCGGGCGCCCGCCGUCCCCUAAAUCUAGUGGCGGUCCCGCUGCAGCCUCCUCUGCGUAGUAGUUUUCUCCUCGCAAGGGCAGCUCGGUGGCGACCUCGCCGUAAAACCCCCAACUUCUGAAAGGUUGACCUCGAAUCAGGUAGGAAUACCCGCUGAACUUAAGCAUAUCAAUAAGCGGAGA
rnacentral:misc_RNA from 1 species